CUGCUAAUACCGCAUAAGCGCACGGGAACGCAUGUUUCUGUGUGAAAAACUCCGGUGGUGUAAGAUGGGCCCGCGUUGGAUUAGGUAGUUGGUGAGGUAACGGCUCACCAAGCCGACGAUCCAUAGCCGACCUGAGAGGGUGACCGGCCACAUUGGGACUGAGACACGGCCCAAACUCCUACGGGAGGCAGCAGUGGGGAAUAUUGCACAAUGGGCGCAAGCCUGAUGCAGCGACGCCGCGUGAGCGAAGAAGUAUUUCGGUAUGUAAAGCUCUAUCAGCAGGGAAGAAAAUGACGGUACCUGACUAAGAAGCUCCGGCUAAAUACGUGCCAGCAGCCGCGGUAAUACGUAUGGAGCAAGCGUUAUCCGGAAUUACUGGGUGUAAAGGGAGCGUAGACGGAUGUGCAAGUCUGAUGUGAAAGGCGGGGGCUCAACCCCUGGACUGCAUUGGAAACUGUAAAUCUUGAGUGCCGGAGAGGUAAGCGGAAUUCCUAGUGUAGCGGUGAAAUGCGUAGAUAUUAGGGGGAACACCAGUGGCGAAGGCGGCUUACUGGACGGUAACUGACGUU
rnacentral:rRNA from 1 species